UGGGGAAUAUUGCACAAUGGGCGCAAGCCUGAUGCAGCCAUGCCGCGUGUAUGAAGAAGGCCUUCGGGUUGUAAAGUACUUUCAGCGGGGAGGAAGGGAGUAAAGUUAAUACCUUUGCUCAUUGACGUUACCCGCAGAAGAAGCACCGGCUAACUCCGUGCCAGCAGCCGCGGUAAUACGGAGGGUGCAAGCGUUAAUCGGAAUUACUGGGCGUAAAGCGCACGCAGGCGGUUUGUUAAGUCAGAUGUGAAAUCCUCGGGCUCAACCUGGGAACUGCAUCUGAUACUGGGAAGCUUGAGUCUCGUAGAGGGGGGUAGAAUUCCAGGUGUAGCGGUGAAAUGCGUAGAGAUCUGGAGGAAUACCGGUGGCGAAGGCGGCCCCCUGGACGAAGACUGACGCUCAGGUGCGAAAGCGUGGGGAGCAAACAGG
rnacentral:rRNA from 1 species